GAAGAAGAAGAAGAAGAAGAAGAAGAAGAAGAAGAAGAAAAAGGCCUCAAAUUCUUCCGUGUUGCUCCUCUGGGUCUCACAGGAGAAAUAUCUGAGCUUUCAUCAGCAGCAGAAACGUGCAACGGGAGGAAAAGAAAACGGGAGGAAGGCGAGGAGACGCGGACGCUCGGAGAGGGUUUUUGUGCAGCCCAACCCGCCUUCAACAACCAAUUACACCGAGUGAGCUGACAGAGGAGACACCGAGAUGAGGAGGAGGAGGAAGAGGGAUGUGGCAGGGGGAAUCUAUGAGCUCACCCUCGAUCAGAUUUGACAAGUGAUGAUCCAAUACAGAUGAGUAUACAUUACUGUGGAGCUUAGAAAUUUAUAUUUGCCUUAAUUUGACUGUGUUUUUUUUGACACUGCUCCCUCCACCAGUAUCAUUUGCUCAAUGAUGUUCUUGAUUACAAACUGACUAAAGUUAGCCUAAGACCCCGAUAGGCUACAAAAAGCCCCAUGUUCAAUGUGUGUCAACUGGUUUGCGGUCAUUUUAAUAAUAUUGGAAUAUAUUUCACCCAAGCACAAAGUCAAGAGACAUGAUAAGGGCCUUAAGGUGGUUCCAGCUUUAAUCUUGAGGCCCCGUCCUUGACGAGGGUCCCUGUAUCCGCCUGGCUCAGACCCUCUAAAGUCCGCCCACAUUUCCAAUUUCUUUAGUAAUGCGAAUACGAUAUGCACGUUGGUACAGCUCUGCAGUAAGUCAACGUACAGGAGUAACAAUUGCGUCGAGCAACCACAAAUGCAGCUUCCGUGUAGACUGAAAGUGACGUUGACGGGACACCUAACACAAACACGCAUGCACUUAAAGGGACAGUGUACAUUAUUUGGUGCCAUCUAGUGGCGUGGUUGCAGAUUGCACCCAACUGAAUACCCUCUUCACUCAGUCCUCCCUUUCCUAGACUGCGGUUAACACAGUUUCACAAGCGUGUCUGAGAACUACGGUGGCCUUCAGGUCGGUGAAAAUCAAAAAGGCUCUUGCUAGAACCACUUUUUGGUUUGUCCAUUCUGGGUUACUGUAGAAAUAUGGCGGCAGUAUCAACGCAGUCGGCUCCGUAAAGAGGACUCGCUUCCUGUAUAGAUAAAAAAAGCUAACAACAAAAACUUAGUUUUAGGAGAUUAAACACUAAUGAAAGAUUAUUUUUGAAUGGUUCGGACCUGUUACAGGAUGUUCUGGCAGACUAUCAUCAGAACUGGAAAAAGGAAAAAACAAUGCAAUAAAACAAAAUGAAAGGAAAGGAGGACAAGAAGAAAGAAGUUACCAAGCACCAAGCAUGUAUAGUAUGUCAGCACCCCAGACAUGGUGCAAAUAGAGUGGACCUUUACUAAAGGGCUCCCUAACAGGUUAAUCUGCUAGUAAACUGUUAAUAAUCUCAAGUGUGUAUUGUUGAUAAAAAAAAUUAAAAAAAUUCUCUGUCUUUUUCAGACAUAUUUUUGUACUUGAGACCUCCUGACCUCUCAGCAAAUAUUGUGGCCUGACUGACGUUCAGUGUUUGAUCCACUGAACGGGACGGAUGAGAUGUGUGCUGAGACACAGAAGUUUGUUUGGCCAGAUCACCUGAUAUGGAGAGAGAUCUCCUCCAUCAUCGGGAUCCCGAGGCCAAGGACCUGCUGAAAUCACAAAUACAGAGGAGCGCAGAGCUUGUCAAAACCCACCGAGGUGCACAGGAGAGGCUGAACAGUCAAUAAAUAAUUACGCACCGAUCAGUGGCUACAUGCAGGACCCACUUGGCCGGUAUGGUUCAGGGUCUGGGUUGUUUAUUAUCUCUCAUGAAACGAUCUGAUAAAGAAUUUAGCUCCUCAGCUCAUAUGUUCCAGCACAUUUGGAUUAACAGCAGACCAAUUGGAGCCAUGUUGAAUCUUUUUGUAUUUCUUUAUGUUUCUUAGAGAGGCACAAUUAUUAGAUAUUCAGAUCAUUGUUACAAGCGACAACAAUACAAUGUCUCUAUAGUGGGAAGACUCUUCUCGGCUAUUUUAAUAAUAAAUUAAAAUGUAACCAAUAAUCGAUGGAAUUGAUGAAGAGAACUAAUACUGCAUGUAAGAGUUUCUUAAAAUGAAAAUUUUUGGAACUUUGAAGCUACUUAAGGCGAUUUUUAAGGAAAACAUCAAAGUUCACGAGAUUAAAAUCGGACUUGUUUUUAAUCAUGGCAUUCCCACCUUUUAUUAUGUGGAAUACUGUAAGAAUUGCUUCACUUUGGAUUCUUGUUCAUAAAAAAUUACUGAACGUGGCCUUGAGAAAAAUAAAUUCACGGGACAUUUUAAAGAGAGGCCGUUCAAUUCCAAUAUUUUAUGUAGCUCAGUGUGUUAAAAUGUCCUUGAUUUAUUAUCCUUUUUUCUUUCUUCUUUUAU